AACAUCUAAGUACCCCGAGGAAAAGAAAUCAACCGAGAUUCCGAAAGUAGCGGCGAGCGAAAUUGGACUAGCCCUUAAGCUUUACACGCGUUAGACGAACGGUCUGGAAAGUCCGACGAUACAGGGUGAUAGUCCCGUAGUUGACGACGUGUGUUCAGUGAAAUCGAGUAGGGCGGGACACGUGAUAUCCUGUCUGAAUAUGGGGGGACCAUCCUCCAAGGCUAAAUACUACUGACUGACCGAUAGUGAACCAGUACCGUGAGGGAAAGGCGAAAAGAACCCCUGUGAGGGGAGUGAAAUAGAACCUGAAACCGUG
rnacentral:rRNA from 1 species